CCCUUAACAGGAUUAGAUACCCUGGUAGUCCUUGCCGUAAACGAUGUAUACUUGAUGUAGUUAGGCUCAACCCUGACUGUGUCGAAGCGAACGCGAUAAGUAUACCGCCUGAGGAGUACGCUCGCAAGGGUGAAACUCAAAAGAAUUGACGGGGGCCCGCACAAGCAGUGGAGCAUGUGGUUUAAUUCGAUGCAACGCGAAGAACCUUACCCAGGCUCGAAAUGCAGUGGACGAUAUCAGAAACGAUAUUUUCCGUAAGGACUGCUGCAUAGGUGCUGCAUGGCUGUCGUCAGCUCGUGCCGUGAGGUGUUGGGUUAAGUCCCGCAACGAGCGCAACCCUUAUCAUUAGUUGCCAACAUUUAAGGUGGGGACUCUAAUGAGACUGCCUAGGUUAACUAGGAGGAAGGUGAGGAUGACGUCAAGUCCGCAUGGCCUUUAUGUCUGGGGCUACACACGUGCUACAAUGGUCGGUACAGAAGGGUGCAAGAUCGUAAGAUGGAGCAAAUCCGUAAAGCCGAUCUCAGUUCGGAUUGUAGUCUGCAACUCGGCUACAUGAAGUUGGAAUUGCUAGUAAUGACGUGUCAGCAACAGCGUCGUGAAUACGUUCCCGGGCCUUGUACACACCGCCCCGUCACAUCAUGGGAGUUGGUUUUACCCGAAGCCGCUGACUCAACCGCAAGGGGAGAGGCGUUCAAGGUAAGGCCGAUGACUGGGAUGAAGUCGUAACAAGGUAACCAAGGGC
rnacentral:rRNA from 1 species